rnacentral:rRNA from 1 species
GCCUGCUCUGUGACUAUAUGUUUAACGGCCGCGGUAUUCUGACCGUGCGAAGGNAGCGUAAUCACUUGUCUUUUAAAUGGAGACUAGUAUGAAUGGCAUGACGAGGGCUUAACUGUCUCCUUUCUCAGGUCAAUGAAAUUGAUCUACCCGUGCAGAAGCGGGUAUAGCCUCAUAAGACGAGAAGACCCUAUGGAGCUUUAGACAUAAAGCAGAUCAAGUCAAAUAACCCCGAUAAAGGACUGAACCCUCUGAACCCUGCUCGACUGUCUUUGGUUGGGGCGACCGCGAGGAAACAAAACCCACGUGCGGACUGGGGAGACUCUUCCCUACCACCUAGAGCUUCCGCUCAAACGACCAGAAUUUCUGACCAACUAGAUCCGGCAUGGCCGAUCAACGGACCGAGUUACCCUAGGGAUAACAGCGCAAUCCCCUUUUAGAGCCCAUAUCGACAAGGGGGUUUACGACCUCGAUGUUGGAUCAGGACAUCCUAAUGGUGCAGCCGCUAUUAAGGGUUCGUUUGUUCAACGAUUAAAGUCCUACGUGAUCUGAGUUCAGACCGGG